rnacentral:rRNA from 1 species
GAUGAACGCUGGCGGCGUGCUUAACACAUGCAAGUCGAACGAUGAAGCCCAGCUUGCUGGGUGGAUUAGUGGCGAACGGGUGAGUAACACGUGAGUAACCUGCCCUUAACUCUGGGAUAAGCCUGGGAAACUGGGUCUAAUACCGGAUAGGAGCGUCCACCGCAUGGUGGGUGUUGGAAAGAUUUAUCGGUUUUGGAUGGACUCGCGGGCUAUCAGCUUGUUGGUGAGGUAAUGGCUCACCAAGGCGAUGCCGGGUAGCCGGCCUGAGAGGGUGACCGGCCACACUGGGACUGAGACACGGCCCAGACUCCUACGGGAGGCAGCAGUGGGGAAUAUUGCACAAUGGGCGCCAGCCUGAUGCAGCGACGCCGCGUGGGGGAUGACGGCCUUCGGGUUGUAAACCUCUUUCAGUAGGGAAGAAGCGAAAGUGACGGUACCUGCAGAAGAAGCACCGGCUAACUACGUG